UAAAUAGUUAACAAAUAACCACACAUUAGAAAUAAUUUUACAACAGGCUCCAUGACAGGAGUCAAGUCAAGAAAAAAUAUGAGUCUUUUAAGUCCAAACUCAAGUAGCAGUCCUUUGAAGUGCAGUUCUUAAAUCUUCCAACUUAAAGUGUGAAGUUUUAAUGAUUAUAAGAUAAGUAUAAAACACAUCUUCUCGUUGGGUAUCAGAAAAAUCGGCGAUUAAAAUUGAUAGACUUGAUGUUUACACGCCGAAAUAGCUCCUAGAGAUAAUAUAAAAAGUAGUAGUUCCUGGAAGUAUGUUUUUUUUUUUUUUUUUUUUUUUUUUUUUUUUGUUUUUGAAUAUUUACGAACCGCAGGUAACAUUGAUUGGGUAACAGGCCUUGUAAAAGAAUUUUUAUUACCCUUAAUGUAAGACAGUACCAAUGAAUCAUUUGCGAUCAUGGACCACUCAUUGUAAAAUGAGGAAAGACGACCAGCCAGCUUUACCCUGCGUAUCUAGCGACGAGUGGGGCAUGAUCUCCGCUGCUGAUGCUGUGACUGCUUUGAGGAGGUACUUGACCGACUGCGCAACGAGGUGGUUGCAGGCUCCUUCGUCUUCGGAGUCUGGGGGUACCAGCUGCCUGCGAUUCGGUCCCGGAUUCUUCCAGUUUUUUUUUUUUUUUUUUGAAGAAUUGGACCCGCGAUAGCGUGAUUUGUAUUAAUUUGGCUCCUGAUUUUAGCUUAGCGGAUUUCAGGGUUUCAGGUAAAUUCUCUCCAAAAAGAAACUUAUGCAACUGACAACUUUGAUGUUUUGCAACUGUUUCUACAACAUCCUUUUUUUUUUUUUUUUUUUACCGAACAAGAGAAAAUUUCUCCUGGUUAUCGAAUCAGCAUGUUGACAGUCACAUAUUAUGCGAACCGCAUCCAUCAUAGGCGUUCGUAAAGGAGUAUUUUUCUUUAAAAUCUUUGCAUAACUUCUUGUCUAAGCCACCAUUGCACAGUGCUCUGGUCUAACAGACAAUUCUUUAUGUAUAAUUUUUCUACAUUUCUUUUCAUUAGUAGGUUCAAUGCCUAGACUUUGUAAUAACUCAUCGUACAGAGAUGGUUCUGUUGUUGCUGUGAUUGCUGUGGAUGAUUCAUCCGUUGGAUGUGCAGAGCCUGCUAACAGUACCGUACUAGUAUCUGGUUGUUCAGAUAAAUGCACUAUAGAUGCCGGCGUUAAUUGUUCUUCCGAUUCAGGUUGCAAUGACACUACAAUGGUAGAAGGCACGGAAGGUGUCCUUAUUUCGCACGCUGUGCUGGGACCAGGUUUUGCCACAUCCUCAUUUUGCAGAUCAAUAUGCUACUCCACAUUCGUUUGCAUGUCGGCAUCCGGUUAGCAAGAGAGGCAUAGCCUCAGUAAAUAAGUAGAAAGAGGCAGUCCCUAAUCAGUAUGAUACGUACUGCCCGCUCACUACAUAGAAAAUGCCAUAAAAAAGUUCCAAUGUACUGUACGAAAAGUCAUGUUUUAUUUUAAUCUCAGUUGUUUAAUAGUCCAAUGGAAUAAACGCUGAACUGUGUAGUAAGUAAGAGACAGUCCCAAUGUUUGUACAAAACAAGUACUGCCCGCAAACUUUUAUAGGCCCGCUAUGGGUAGGUUUAAAAUAAGUAGAAAGAGGCAGUCCCUAAUCAGUAUGAUACGUACUGCCCGCUCACUACACAGAAAACACCAUGAAACAGUCCCAAUAUACUAUACGAAACGUCAUGUUUUGUUUUAAUCUCAGUUGUGUAAUAAAUAGUCCAUGCGAAUAAUUGUUAGAUAGUAAGUAAGAGACAGUCCCAAUGUUUUUACAAAACAAGUACUGCCCGCAAACUUAUAAAGAUCCGCUAUCGGUGGAUUUAAAAUAAGUAGAAAGAGGCAGUCCCUAAUCAGUAUGAUACGUACUGCCCGCUCACUACAUAGAAAAUACCAUGAAACAGUCCUAAUGUACUGUACGAAACGUAAUGUUUUGUUUUAAUUUCAGAUGUGUAAUAAAUAGUCCAUGCGAAUAAUCGUUAGAUAGUAAGUAAGAGACAGUCCCAAUGUUUUUACAAAACAAGUACUGCCCGCAAACUUAUAAAGAUCCGCUAUCGGUGGGUUUAAAAUAAGUAGAAAGAGGCAGUCCCUAAUCAGUAUGACACGUACUGCCCGCUCACUACAUAGAAAAUACCAUGAAACAGUCCCAAUGUACUGUACGAAACGUCAUGUUUUGUUUUAAUCUCAGUUGUGUAAUAGUCCAUGCGAAUAAUCGCUAAAUAGUAAAUAAGAGACAGUCCCAAUGUUUUUACAGAACAAGUACUGCCCGCAAACUUACAAAGAUCGGCUAUGAGUAAGUAUAAGUGAUAAUAUAAUGCCGAACAUAAAUUGUUAACCUACCUAAGGUAGGUAGUUUAGGCAGCAUCGACCACAAUCUAAAUUGUAUUGUAUUUUGAACACUCACUGUAAGUAACUAUUUACUAUCCUACCUUGUUCACUCGGUGAUCGUGGAGAUGCAGGCGGCAACGACGUCGAUGAUGACUCACUGAUAUCACUUCGAUAAUACCGUCUUCCACAUCGUAUUUUCUUUUCAAAUUUUUUCUCAUAUGCUUUUAAUCGUUGUCACUUUUUAAUUUUGGCAUUGUUAUACCUUUUUUAACACUUUUAAUCAGAAAAAAAGACUAUCGUACCGACAUAAUAAUUUUAGUCGCGAGCGCGUGUAUGAAACGGCGAAGCACUAAAAAGCGAAUGACAAACCUUUCGAGCGCGGGACUGAGAUAAACAAAACUACCCUUUAAAAAAAAUUUAAAAUAAAAACCAACGAUUACUCUCAAAAUAGUGUGAAAUGGCUUGCGCUGCGCGUUACUACAUGUGUCUCUUUGCUAAUCUCGAGGAAGAAGCCUGAGUAUAAUAUAUAUUUGUGUGUACAUGUUUUGUUCCAGAAACAGAAAUUAUAGAGACAAUCCACGGGAGGCGUUACCUGAAAUACAGGAACUACUACUAUUCUAAAAGGUCCAAAUAUGGCUGGAGGUGUAUCAACACUAACAACUGCUUUGUUGGACUCUCGACAGAUGACAGAUUGAACGUAACCCAAGAACCUGCGGAACACGCUCAUCCACCUAAGAUGUUCAUAAAAACCCUUAAUGGGACUUAUAUAAUACAAAAACCUUCAAUUGGUUAUAUUAUGCCUAUUCAUAUACAGUGAUCGAGGUUUUUAACUACUUCCGAGAAUGAUAAGCCGCGCAAGAAAUAUACACGGCGACGGGAAAGCGUUACCUGAAAUACCAAGGCUACUAUUACACGAAAAGGUCGAAUUAUAGUUGGAGAUGUAUCAACACAAACAGGUGUUACGUGCGAUUGAAUGUGGACGACUUUCUCCGUGUCCUGAGACCACCUAGGGAUCACUCACACCUGCCACCGUCAAACUAUAGAACUGUACGGAUUUCUGGUGGCUACGGAUAUCGAGACCAGCAAUUUAUACUAAGCUAACUCAGAAAAAUGAAAGUACAGUAGGGGAUUAUAAAGGCAAAACGUGAUAACAUUUAUAUUAAACGCCGGAUAAGUGCGAGUUGAACUCGCGUGAAGGUUUCGAACGAUGUCAAACAAACAUUUUUCAUAAUCAAAUUUAUUUCAGAUGGGCUUAUUUUACGUACAAGUACUUUUUUUUUAAUUAUAAGAUUUGUAACAUUUAGAAUGUUUAAAUAUUAUGUCACUAUUUUUAGUAAAAAUCCUCGCUUCAAGAUAUUUGACAUAAAAAACGAUUUCACCUAAAAUUAGAGUUAGCAUAGUAUACAUUUGGUGUCUAUAUGUUGCAAUAAGAUAGUUGAAGCCUUAUAAUAAUAUAAUAAUUAUUAUCCCUAGGGAUAUAAUAUAUGUAGUUUUAUACCCUAGUUGUAUACCGGAACACCACCUACCGGCAAACACAUACCGCCAAGCGAUUUACUGUUCCGGUACGAUGUCGUGUAGAAACCAAAAAGGGGUUUUGAUUUUCAUCCUCCUCCUACCAAGCUAGCCCGCUUCCACCUUAAAUUGCAUCAUCACUUACCAUCAGGUGAGAUUGUAUUCAAGGGCUAAAUUGUAGAGAAUAAAUAAAUAAAAAAAAGUAAUAUAAUUUUAUUGCGGUAAAGCACUAGUUCAAUUACUAGAUUAAGUUUAGUUAAGACUAGGAGUGUAGUGCGGCGAUAUCGAAAAAUGGAUUGGUUGACAAGAACUUUAAACAAAAUCAAAGUCUAGGCAUUCCGACCCCAUACCGUCUUGUAUCCUAGGGCAUACCUAGUGGUGGACACCUAGAGUUUUUUGUAAAGCUUGUGUCAGAAAUUUGUAAACGGCCUAAUAGUCUACUCGUAAGAUCCGAAUUAGGAACGACUUUCACCCAUCUGUUUACUAGACGAAACUAUUUUAUUUGAAAUUAAAAAUGUCAAUCAAAAUAUUGCCAAUGAGUUGCCUAAAAAAUGUCAGUUCAGAAUUUGAUUAUGAUUUCUACUCGCAGUUACUACGAGUAAUAUCGAUUGACAUGUUAUACCUGUGCAUCCAAGAAUUGUGACGUAAAAAUACCUUAUCCAACCUAACGUUUGCAUAUUCUAUAAAGGCUUCACGCUUCUUUCGCUCGAUCGAUUGGUAUGGAAUUUGUCUUUUAACCAGACCAGUGAAAAGUAAAAAAUAAAAACAAAUGCCAAUUAAUCAUAUUCUCAACCGUACUUUUUUAUGCAAUUUCCCUUCAUUGGCAUAUUUGAUUUCUUCUUCUUCUUCGGCCUCGCCUUGUUCCGUUUAUAUGGGGUCGGCUUUCCCAAUCAUGUGGCGCCAUUUGGUACGCUCCUUUGCGUCAUCGUCUGUUAGGCCUUUAUCUUUCAGGUCCUUACGGACCUUCGUUAACCACGUUGUUGGUGGUCUCCCUUUCCCCCUCUUCUUAGUAUCCAUGGAAAGGCACUUUUUUACGAUAUGGUCGUCUGGUCUGCGCAUCACAUGACCGUACCAUCUCAGCCUGGACUCUUUUGCUUUUGCAGCUCUUUCUGCGACCUUGAAGCUCCCUCUAAUGUGUUCAUUGCGUACCUUUUCCUUGAGUGUCACUCGUCGUACGCAUUUCUCCAGUACUCCAUUUAGCGUACUGUGUGAUAAAAAUAUUGGUAUAUUUACUUAAUUUGAUGUAAAAAAGUUAUCCAGUAAAUAGAUGGGUGAAGGUAGUUUUAUAUAAAUACUCUACUAUAAAGGAACCAAACCUACGAGGUUGAGUGGAGCGAGGUUACUGGCAUGUAAAGAGAACUGGCGACUCCUGUAGCGAAUCGAGUUAGUAGUUUGGAUGAAGGAUUAAAUACUUGACGUCCUGUCUAUUCAACCAAAUUACCAUAAACUUUAAUCCAUGAGAGUAUUGUUAACAGGCAAGGCCAAAUAUAUUGCUAUGAUACCACAGUACAAAGAAAAUGUAUGUUACUCGUAAUUUACAUGUAAUUUUUUUGUGAUUAUUAAAUAGCAUUUAUAAAAAGCUUUAAAACACACUUUUAUGGUUUUUAUUACCUCUGUGAUAUUAGGCCUAUAAAAAAUUAACAAAUUAAUCAAAAUCAAUACCAUACUCUAUUUAAAAAGCAUGCUUAAUUGUUCUUGUUAUUGUAGCUAGCUUUUUUCAUAAAAAUGAAGAUACAUAUUUUUGUAGGUAAAAACAAUAAUAUGAUUUGUUUUAGGUCAAAUCAUUACAACGAUACAAGGGAAGCAGUAUUUGAAAUACCAAGGACAUUACUACACUAGGACUCCGAACUUGGAGAACAGAUGGCGUUGCAUCAAUACCCAUCACUGCUUCAUAAGCCUACACGUGGACGAUUUCUUGAACAUAGUAAAGCUACCGCGCGAACACAUGCACCCACCUAAAAUGUUCUACAAAACCAUAGACGGGACAUACAGGCUUGAAAAGCAACGGCGCCCGGUUAAAAAACAAAAACAGGAACAACUUUUUAAACGUCAGAUUAUGUACCCCUAUCAAAAUAUACCCUCCCUAUAUAGAAUUUCAAUGACGUAAGAUUAAUUGAAAUAUAUUUAUUGACGUCAGUUGUAUGGAUGAAAUACGAGUUUAAAGACGUCGAAAUUUAAGAUUUAGCGGUAGCGUGAGAGACAUACCAGUAGAAAUGUAGAAUUUGUAUGUCUAUUUUAAUCAAGAAAAUUAUUCGUACAAUGCACGAGCCGUACUUACAAAAUUUAUUCAAAUUGAUAGAUAUAAAAAUGUUCAUGGAAUUGAUCAUUAGUGAUUUACAGAAAAAUAUCAAAUUUGCAAAAACUCAGCUGUUAGUGUCAAUAUACAUAUAAAAAUUAAUAUAGGGCAUAGUAAACAGUUUUGGAAAUGCUGGACCUAAUGGCUAUCAAAAUGAAUUUUUGAUUAAUAUUAAGCUUAUUUAAUAGUUAAAUAUCGUUCUGGAAGUAUUAUAGAAUUUAAUUUUUAAUGAUAAUGUAUUUAUUGUAACAAUUGUUGUAAAUUAAUGUGUAAUGUGCCAUCUUUAUCUUUAAUUAAUAUACUUAAUUAAUUGAUCUUAGAAGCUUUUCGUUAUUGUUCAAUGCCUCAGAUCCUGGAGCAUAUAAAUGUAGUUUUCUUAGAGUAAUAAUUAUUUUAAUUUUACCAAUCUAACUAAUCGUAUACAAUAUACAUAUUAUAAUAUGUAACAUUAACUAUUGCGCAAAUUGAAAUCCUUAAUAUUGUACUUUAAUAUUGUUUUAGUUUUAACCUCUCUAAUUCUGGUCUAAUAAUCGCAUUGUUUUAAUUUUGAAUUAUUUUUGUGUUUUCAAUUAAAUUUGUAUUCAUUUGUUGCACAGGGAAAUUAAUCACUUUGCAAAAUGGCAAAACGCAAAUGUUAUUCAACCGCUUCACCUUCUUCAAACAUUACAAAACCCGUACAGUAAACCAAGACAGGUGGAGUUGCACCAACUACCCCAAAUGCAAGGCAUAUGUGUACGCUGAUGACGCCCUGUACAUCUUGAGAGUGCACAACGAACAUAACCAUGUAAUGAGGAAAUUACAUAUGACUAAAGAGGGGGUGUAUAUUAAAAUUUAAAUGCUCUCGAUAAUGACGAAAUCAUAGACAUAAGUAUUGGUGGCGGUCGUGUUUUGUGUUGUAGCGUCUUCAUAUUUGAAUACAAAAAUAAAAUCGCUAUGUACCUUGUGGAAUUUAUUGUCGAGGAUUAUAAAUCUACGAGUACGUAAUGGUCAAUCGCAAAAUCUUCUGUACAAACAGUACACAUACUUUAGACACUCCAAGAACCGCUGGAGCUGCACCAACUAUCCCAAGUGUAAAGCGUAUUUGUACGCGGCAGAGGACGUCGUUGUUGAAGGUGACCAUAACGUUCACAACCACAACAUACGGAGGCUUCAUAAGAUUAGCGACGGCAUGUACAUUAAGAUUUAGAAACUAUGUAAAAUGAAACACUAUCUAUAUAUACAGGGUGUCCAGUAAAUAGUACGAAAUGCUCUACAGGGCGAUAGCUGACAUCAAGGCCUAUUAAAAUAACACAAUAUAUGUUAGCCGAAAAUUUACGGUUUUUAAGUUAUAUUGGUUUUUGUACAAAAUACAAAAAAAAACCUUCAAUGCAGUUUAGUCGUACCAUGUGCUGAAAAAAUACUAAAGCUUUGAUCAGAUUUGGGUGAAAAUUGGUGGAGAGGUAGCCUCUCAAACCAGGGAGUAGAAUAGGAUAGGAGUAAGGAAUGAGUCUUGGCAUUAGGCAGGGAGAUCAACAUGAGCGGAGAAGGGGAAUUAAUUGUCGAUUAUCAAGGAAUUCCUUAACCCUACAUCCAUUGGUCACAAGUCCUGGACUUUGCUCGGAGUUUUUCUCAUUGCCACGCGAUGGACGCGGCACCCGCACGGUAAAUCCAUGGAUUGCUAAGAUAUUCGUCUCUCUCAUUUACUACUUCUUUAUGUUGCAGCAUGCGUUGACCAACAAUGUUUUGGUAGACCAUUUUUUGCCAGUAGGUAAGAAAGUAUUGUUUGUUGUUACUACCAUAUAGUAAUGUUACCUUCAUGUUGUUUUAAGUAUUCUUAAUGAAAAUAUAUCAGCUUUAUCUGUAUCUUUAUGAUUGUGAGAAACACCGGUAACCUUCAUAUUAUUUUAAGCAUUCAUAAUUCUAAUAAUUAUGUACAUAGUGAAAGAAUAAAAUUUCUUUCUUAAGAAAUAAAUGAAUUUUGACUUCUUUAGUUUUCUUGAAUUUUACCUUAAGACAAAUUUCAUUGAAACAAACCUUAGCCGAGAUUACCUUUCGUUCAUAAGAAAUACACACAUACAAAGCAGUGCCUUAUUUAGAAGUGGGUCGGUAAAAUGGGCUGAUAGAUUUAUAUAGGUAGAUGCAAACAUGAACUGCCUAUCCUGAAGACGAUCACUUGUAUUGGAAAAAGAAAUUUUUACGUACCUAUAAUGCUUACCCUAGUUAAAAACCUUGUGCACGUCACUGCUGAUAGUGAUAUUUAUUUCGGGGUCUUUAUUAUAUGACUCAUAUAUCAUUUAAAUCUAUGAGUAUGAUUAAUUUAAAUUGAUUAUUAUUUUCAGGAAAACUAAUCACUGUACAGAAUAGUAGAGCAUCAAAUCUAUUACAUAAAGAUUAUACUUACUAUAGAGAAAGACAAAACAAAAUUAAAUCUCGUUGGAGAUGUACCAGAUACCCUAGUUGUAAGGCCUAUGUUUACGCGAACAACGAACUGGCAAUAAAAAGCGUUCAUAACGAUCACAACCACACAGCUACUCAAAUGAUAUUAGGUAGUGACGGCACGUAUUUUAAAAUUAAAAAAAAUAAAGGAAAGAAGACUAUUCGAAAAAAAUGUCUUAAAAAAUAGCCAAACUUUAUCCGUCUCAAAUGUUAAAAAGUAAGUCUUUUUAACACGCUUAAAUUAGCUUCACUUGUAACUAUGUAUGUAAGAAAAUCUUGGAAUCUUAAUUCGACCCACUUCCUGGUCUUCGAUUAGGAUGAAAUUUUGCACACGCUCUGAGUUCUAAUGACAAUACAUUACUAGCUAAGAAACGUUUGAAAUCCACCCCCAUGAUAUAGAUAUCAAGUAAAAGGGUUUGCUGUCAGGAAUACGACGAAAAUAGUCACGUGACUUAAAUUCAAUAUGGCGGACGUCCAAAAUGGCGGACAGGCUAUUUGAAAUGCACUCCCAUAUGGGUAUCAAAUGUAAGGAUUUGAUGUCAGGAAUACGAAUACGAAAUAAUAAUAAAAUAUGAAAUAAAUAAGUUUGAUCUUCGUUUUUAGGUCAACUUUUCGUUUUAAGGAAAGGCAGACCCCCGAAUCUGCUUUACAACGAUCAUAUUCAUUACAAAGACCGAAAGGGUCGCAAAGGUACCCGUUGGAGAUGCACCAGAUACCCAAAGUGCAAGGCGUACGUAUAUGCUACCAAUGAAUUAGUAAUAAAAACUGUUCACAAUGAACACAACCAUAUAGCCAACAAGAUUAUUUUGGGCACUGACGGUAGAUAUUAUAAGACACGUAUUAUGUGCACACCCUAAAUGUCGAAUGUAUACAUUUAAGGAAAUGUAUAAUUUGUAACUAAAUAAAUUAGUCCAAAUUUAAUAAAGUGUGUAUCUUUUUAAGCUUAAAAGUCCCUGUGGGUCACCUCCCGAUAAAUCAAAUAUGCAGCUCAAAAUAUCAGCUGCAUGGUAUCAUAUUCUACCAUUGUCGUAAGUAAACGAAUAUUAAGUUUAAAUAAACGUCAGGAAGUAGUUCUAAAGCCGGAUUUAUUUAUUUGUCUGACGUGUUGUGUUGUGACGCAUCAGAACAGAAUCGGUUUCAUACAUUUUGUAUGCGGCACAUCAGAAGCCAUCACGACAUGUCACAACACAUAAGUGUAAACGUUGCCUUAUAAAAUGAUUCAGUUCUGAUGCGUCACGUCACGUCACGUCACGUCAUGUUAAUCCGCCUUAAUUUAGCUUUCAAAUUUUGAUUUACACACUAACCGGCGAAAAAUGAAGAAGAUACACACAAAAUGUGAGUAUGAAAUAUUAAAAAUUAACUAAGAAUUAGCAUUCACAAAUAUCAAAAAUUCUAAAUCAGGGAAGGGAAGCUCUUAAAAAUUAGUUUUAGUGUAAUUGUAUAUUUUAGAAUUUAAAGUAUCGUGAGUGUUAUUCAUAUUAAUUUAUUAUGAAAACGGCUAAAACUCAUGUGAUAAAAAGUCGGAGUAUGCCCGACUAGUGUCGAACCAAUACGGGGCCCUUAGUCUUGAGCUGGUUCAACGCGACGGCGUGCGCAGCCGCUCGCAGCGCACGUUGAGAGAGGGGCUGAGGGGUGGGGAGUGAAGGGUCCGUUACCGUAAAUUGUAUAUUUUAUAAUCUUUGACUGUCUGUUUUAGGGCAACUUAUCACUUUUCGUAAUGGCAGAGCUCCUAAUCUGGUUUACAAUGGUCACACUCAUUACAAAGACCAGAUAAGUCGCAAUGGCUACCGUUGGAGAUGCACUAGAUACCCAACCUGCAAGGCGUACGUAUAUGCCAGCCACGAAUUGGAAAUAACAAGUGUCCAUAAUGACCAUAACCAUGUAGCGAGCAAGAUCUUGUUAGGCAGUGAUGGAAUAUAUUAUAAAAGUAAAAUAUUAUAAAUGAAACGUGUUUGUUUGUUUAUUUAUUUAAAUGCGAUAAUCUCCUAAUCUUUUAAAAGUAAUAGUAAUUAUUACUUUUAGUUUUGUAAAAUUGCACAAAAUUAGGCAUAUAAACCACUUAAUUGUGUUUGUUUUUACUUCGGUUAUGCAAUAUAUGCGGUUUUAUUAAAUUACUUUUAUUAUCUCUGUAGAAUACUGUCAAUGACUACGAAUCAGUCGGCUCAGUCCUACGCACAUCGCGCGCCCCUUUGUGGUCGUACCAAAAACCGACAAAUCUCGGAUCGAACCGCGCACGAGUUGUAACGCUCGGAGCGAGCGACCCAGGCGCAGUUCGUGCGCCUGGGUCGCUCGAGGCGUCCAAACCACGAGCAUUCGUGAUACAUUGCAGCAAUGUGGACGUCAAAAUCUUGCAUUGCAUGUUGCAUUACAUGUUGCAUUGCACCAAUCUGUACCCACCUUAAGAUGCAAAAUAUAUAACUGCCACAAGUUCACACAAAGUGUACGAUUGAAUAUUUUUAAGGAAUUUUGGAAGAUGAAUUGGGAAGCUAAGAAACAAUUUGUUAAAUCUCUGGUAGAUAGAAAACCUACUGAAAGGAAAACUACCCAAAAAGCUGAUACAAGACGAACUUGUACUAAAGUCUAUUAUUUAAAAUUAAAUUAUCAAAAACUUAGAGUGUGCUCAAAGACUUUCUUUGGCACAUUAGGUAUUAAGCAGAGUACCGUAAGGUCUUGGUCUUGCUAAUGGAGAAAAAAGUAGGUACUGGCUAGAAGAAAAAUAAAUUUGAUAGUAAACUUAUUUGACACAUAAUUUAUGAAAGUGUUUUGAUAUGUUUAUUGAAGCAAAUAUGAGGCAAUUAAAAAGGUAGCUGAAAAUAUUAUUAUUUUCAGCCUAUAUCUACCUUUUAGGUAUUACAAAUGUACAGAUUUUUAGAUAGUCUGAGACGCGCUUUAGCUUUUUUUAAUUUAUUAUGUCUGUAUUGAUCUAGAUUUAUGUUUCCACAUGCAGCUCUAAGAACAACUUAAAAUUCUCAACCCCUUUAUAUUAAAUAGGUUUAGUUAGUUUUCAAUCCAUUGACUCAUACUUUAUGGUAGUUGGCUUUAAACCACACAUUGUAAGGGAGCAAGACAUUGUCCUUUAGUAGGCCAUUAAAAAUGGGCUAAUAAUUCAGGACAUAGGCCUGUCUUAGAAACCAAACACCACGGUCCUGAGCCGCCUGCAUCUAACGACACUGCUAAUGUCGAGGAUUAAUAAUGAUAACAUUUACCGUUCUAGGGGAACUGAUUACAAUGCGAAACGCACGAAACAACGGGAGAAGUCAAAAUCUCUUAUAUAAAAACUACACAUACUUCAAACACUAUCACAGAGGUACGAUGAUCAGGUGGAGUUGCACGAACCACCCCAAGUGCAAGGCCUACGUGUUCGCAGACCACAACAUGGAGAUCAAAACCAUCCAUCACGAACAUAACCACCACUACAGGCCACUUCACAGAACAAGUGAAGGGACGUACAUUAAACUUUAGAGCGCGCCGAACUUAUUUGGCAGAUGUUUUUAAAGCAGCGCUUGACAAGCAUGAAUUGUAUCUGGCUGUCAGAAUAUUGAUAACAUCCGGUAACAACGCUGAAUUAUUUCAUGUAAACAGUCUGCAGGCUGUUGACAUGAAGUCAUGUAUAUUGUCCUUUUCAUGGAAGAAGUCCGCCAGACGGCUGUAAGGCGCUGUCAAUUUUUGUUGAGGUUAUACUCUAGUAUAUUUUAGAUACAUUUUGCUACGAAAAUAUUAUAUAACAGCCUGUUUCCUUUUAUAUGAAAUUAGCCCGCUGCCCCACGGUUUGGUCGGCGUAGUGCCCGUCCCGUGUAAAAUUUUCCAAAUCAGUUCAGUAGACCCAGAGAUUAUAACACCACAAACUCUUAAUAAUAUCAGUAUAGAGAAGUUCUCGCUUGACCACGAUCUCAUCUGGUUGUGAGUGUUGAUGUGGAACACAAUAUCCCACUGCCCAAAUAUUUAACCAGAGGGAGAAGAAUUAAUACGUCAGGUUGGGAUCGAAAUAGAAGUUGGAAAUCUAGACAGCAUAAUGCUGGAGACGAAGGAGAAAUGGGAAGCUAUAAGAUUUUAUCUAGAAGGAAUAAUAAAGUGUAAAGAGAAGGACGAAAGAGAAAGACAUAGAGCUCAGUGAUACAUAGAUAGGGGGGGGUUAGGUUAGGCUAGGUUAGGUUAUUUUAGGUUAGGUUAGGUAGGUCGAAUUGGCAGGAACACCAACGCAUUGAGGUCAGGAGGGGCUUUUUUUAGCAGGUAGAAGUCCGGCACUAUCCGGUUCAGGAUGUCCAUCAGGAUAUUUUUCCUCCUGAAAAAAAAAGUGUAGACACAGUGGUCUGAUAGUUUUGUCAAUGAGCCUUAUUGUAAUUUGUCUAUGGAGCUGUCAAUUUUAGUUCAGGUUUUACCCGCAGAACUUCUUUCAUAAAAAAGACUUUACUACAACGGCGAAAACAAACUUGUCAUUUAUUAAAAAUAACCUUACUCUUUCUUGACCGAUUUAAAAUAAUAAUGUAAAAUAUAAUAGGCAAACAAUGUCUUAUAAGAAUUCAGACUAAGUACCUAAUAAAAUAAAUAAAUCAUGGAUUAUUUAAGAAUAUAAUUUACAUUAUAAUUUCAUUGUAAUAGAAUAUUGAAUUAUGUUUAUGCACCUUCGAUAAGUUACUUAGAUCAUUGUUUUUCAAUAAUUUGAUACCUACUUAUAACUACAAUUUUAUUUUUAAGGAGUUUUGAUAAACUUGAUGAAUGGUAAAUCGCGGUUGCUAUACAAGAACUUCACAUACUACAGGCACUACGCUACUAAAACACAAAUAAGAUGGUCGUGUACGAGCCAGUGUAAAGCCUAUCUGUACACAGACCUCGGAUUUGUUGUGAAAAAGAUGUGUGGAGAACACCACCAUCUUCCUAAGGCCAUGCACAAGACUCAGGAGGGAAUAUAUGUUACUCUGUAAAUUAUCAUAUUUAGAAGUAGAAUCCAUAGUCAUAGGCUAGUUGACUCAUAAAUUUAAAUAUAGAUCAUCAUGGCCGACAGCGUUUCGGCUCGUAUUGUCAAAAAAUAUUUAAAUUUUUAUGUAUUCACGUCGUUAAAAAAAAUAUGAAAAAAAAAUAUCAAUCUAAGAUAAUGAACAAUUUAAGACUUUUUUUCCCAAUCAAGUUGGGAGCCCAUGAUGAUUAAUGCGGAUUUACUCGAAGGGACCUAUUAGAUUUGGUAGAUCAGAUAAUAAGAUAUCCGAUGAUCAAUUGUAUUGAUCAUUGGAUCACCUUCCAACGUCACACGUCACACAACGUCAAGUAAAAGUAAAAGAAAUUGUUAUGAUUUACAUUUGUAAAUUAUAGUAUCGUAUGAUUGAUUUUAAAGACCAACUUUUGAUUUUCUUGCCGGCUCUCUUCAGCAGAACCUGCCUUCCGAAUCGGUGAUAGAGUCUUUACAAAUAGUCUACCUUGACGUUUCAUAGGUGCAUGUAAACUUAGCCUUGAAAUAAAUGAGUUUUGAUUUUUAACCAACCUUUACUUUAAUCUGACGUGCUCAUCGAUCUCCUGUCUCUUAUAUUGGGGGUUCAUACUUGGUGGAGUUACUUAAGAUCAUGCAGGGAUCCUUGUGUUCAGCUUCGAGUAAGUCCAAAUACUCCCACUUGGGCUCCCAUACUAUUUCUGGUAGCUAUUUAAUUAAUAAUUAAAACAGACUUGUUUAAUUGCUACGUUUUCAUGUCUACUAUGUUUGAUCUAGAAUUAAAAAUUAAGAAAGUAAAGCAAAUAUAUUGCGAGUUAUUUGGGACCAUUCUAUAAUACAUUCUAAUCAAUAGUACAGAGAUUUGAAUAAUAAUAACCUUUAAUUUCAGUUCACCGAGUAAUUACAGAAGACGGAAAAAUGUUUAUAAGAUACAAAGGCUUCUAUUUUACGAAGUUGUCGUCGAGCCGAACUAGAUGGCGUUGUGUGUCGACCAAAACUUGCUAUGCAAGUGUCAUUCUUAAUGACGAUUUUUCUAUAGCGAAAGAAACUGGCUCUCAUCACCAUUUACCCAAGUUCCUCUUGAAACUGAAAAACGGUAGAUAUAUUUUUGUCGCGGAUUGGCAGAGAUAUCAGAAAACCGUUGUGGCUGUGCAAUAAAAAUUUUACAAUUGCUGUGCAAUAUGUGUAUUAUAUAGAACUUAAUAUCGUAGCUAGAUAGAUACUUUUUUAAUAUCUCCGUUACCAGUUCAUAAGCCUCCUUCUGAGCUAAGUAUCAUUGUAAGAAAUAUUGAUAAAGACUAAGGAUCCCUAAAACUCCUAAAAUGUGAAAUGCGUUACGUUUCUACUCAAUAUUUAUGUCACUAUAGCUUAGCAAGCUCGUUGAUGACACUCCCAUGAUAUGCGGGCGACGGGGAGGGAAGGACUGCGCGGGUGUCAAGUCAGGCGCGCGGGGCAGAGGCUGGAAGUGGGGUGCAUCAGGUAUGAGUUUAUCUGUCAUCGCUACCCGCCUCCAAACCCCCGCGGACAUCGGGAGUGUUACGAAAGAAUUUGCCAAACUAGAGCUACUGCCGCGUGGCGCAGUCGGUAGGACCCUGCUUUUUGCAUCAACGCCCUUGGGUUCGAUUCCCACAACUGGUAAAUAUAUGUGUGAUAAGCAUAGGUUAUAAUAUUAUAUUAUUAUAUCUAUAUUAUAAAAUCAGUUGUCUUAGUACCCAUAACACAAGCUGCGCUUACUUUGGGGCUAGAUACUGAUGUGUAUUGUUUAAGUAUAUUUAUUUAUUUAGUUAUGAGGUGCUUUAAUAGGACUGAUAUAUUAUGUAUGUGUUUCAGUUUGAUUUUACUAGCGAACCGGCUUCGCAUUGGUGCAAUAUCUUUUUAAUAGCUGAUAUAUUAUAGAUUAGUUAAGGCGGAUUUAUAUUUGUCUGUAGAACAGAAUCGGUAUACAUUUUGUUUGGAACACUCUGAUGUGUUAAACUUACUUAUGUGUUGUGACAUGUCGUGAUGGCUCAGAAGACAUGUCACAACACACAUGUGUAAACGGUGCCAUACAAAAUGUAUGAUACCGAUUCUAUUCUAAUGCUUCACGACAUGACACGUCAGACAAAUAUAAUACCGCCAUAAGUCUUGUAUUUUUUCGUUCUAAAUAACAUUGUUUUGAUUUUAUCAAUGAUAUACCUUUUCUGUGAUCGGAUCUGGGUUUAACCGGGCGUUAAUUGUAUACAAACACUUAUCUACCAAAAUACCAUUAUGUACAAAAUAUGUAAAAUGCAAUUAUACGAACCUUUCAGGUUUAUAGCUUUUUCCAUAUUCCCGUAUUCAAAAUUGGUUAAAUGGUUUAGAAGAAGUAUGCAAAGAAAUAGAAAGAUAGACAAAUUAGUGAAUUCGUUUUAAGCGAUAUAUUAAUUCUUAAUUUAGGGAAAUGUCUUUUACAACAAUAUUUUAUUUGAUUACACAUCUUAUAAUAUUGGACCGCGCAGAUGUUUUGAAAUGAAUAGGUAUUUAUUACCUGUAACGUUAUAAACAAAUUAGAUUCCGUUGAUUGUGAGUUAUUAAGCAAUAAAGAUUUGAUUACUACUUGGAUAGUUUUAACUUUUAAAUUGUUAUUUUUAGUGGUAGGUGAGACAGAAAAAGUUGGAAGGUUUAUGUAGACAGCUUAGUUUACUAGAUAUACUUGUUGAUACUAAAGGUGGAAUUAUGUUUGUCUGACGUGUCGUGUCGUGACGCAUCAGAGCAGAAUCGGUAUCAUACAUUUUAUAAGGCAACGUUUACACUUAUGUGUUGUGACAUGUCGUGAUGGCUUCUGAUGUGCCGCAUACAAAAUGUAUGAAACUGAUUUUGUUCUGAUGCGUCACAUAACGACACGUCAGACAAAUGUAAAUCCAGAACGUGCCCGGGGUGUACAAGAUUCCGUGUGACUGUGGUAAGUCAUAAAUCGGUGAGACUCGCCGUAACAUCACCACAAGAGUAAAAGAACACAUACGGAGCAUGAAGAAUGUGGACACGGACGGUUCAGCAAUAGCCGAGCAUGUUCUAGCUUCGGGUACGACUCAUUAUAUCCGUUUUGAUAAGGCUUCUGUAUUGUCAAGGGAAAAGUUUCUAGUACCUCGUAAGAUACGUGAAGCGAUAGAAAUUAGUCGUCACCCGAAUUUUAAUCGGGAUCAUGGAUGGUUGCUGCCCACAGCGUGGAAACCGCUAUUUCUUUCAUUGUCACAUACAACAAACUUGGAACAAGAUAGCAUUAGUUCGGUUUGCUUACAAGAAGACGAGUCUAAUGAAGAUGACAUUAAUGAACCGUCGGAGAGUGUAACGGAACCUUCACUCCCCACCACUCAACCCCUCUCCGCGCGCGCAAUGCGUGCAGCAGCGCGUCGCGCAGCCGCUUCGCAGUUUGGAUCGUGCCGCGAUGCAAGAACCAGCUCAUGACUAAGGGCCCCGUAUGGGUUCGAAACUAGUCGGGCAUACUCCGACGUAAUAUCACAUUGCAGGAUGAUCACCAUGUUUAAUGGGCGCAAAUAUUACUACUACAUGGGCUACACGUAUACUCUGGGGCACAAGACCAAGCGUGGGAUGAGGUGGCGGUGCACGCUUACCUCGGACUGCAAGGCUUUUAUCAUGAUAUCUACAGAUGGACGGCUCACUCAGUCUGGGGGAGAGCAUUUGCACGAAAGGCCACGACUAAAUGCCAUAGCAGGUGGACGAUUUGUAAGGAUCUAAUUUCUUGGUUACGCGAUUCAGUUAAUCGUUUUUUGUACAUUUAAACCCCCUUAAUAUAUUAUCUUAAAAAAUGUUCAAGAGUUUUAUAAAACCUACUAGCGAAUCCGGUCAAGCUUUGCUUUGACUUAUGUGCUCCUUUUCCUUACCCUUACCUUACCUCUACCCUAAGAAAUGUAAUUUAAUUAUGUGUAGUUUUCAGAGUUUCAUUAUACUUGUAGUAACAGGUAAUACUUUCCAAAUUGCGUAUUUUUAUAUCAAAGGAAAGAAUUGUAUAAAUUAUAAUUCCCUUGAAAAAAUAAUUAUUGUAGCCUAAACAGCAAAGAUUACUUACUAUACUUAGGUCAAUAGCGACUCAAAACUGAGGUGGACAACAGUGGUUAAUUGUCUUAAUUUCAUUUAGUCGCAUUUUAAACAACGAAAGCUAUUUGAAUAAAUAAUACUUACCUAAAUAUUGUUAACAAUAUCGAGUUGUGUAUUUAGGAAAUCUAAAAACUAUAUAUUCAGAAGUAUAUAAUGUAAGUAAACACAAAGUUGUGCAUGCGUGCGCUUAGUGAAGUAGCUAAAUUCGGAUCACUUUUUGUGGUGAUUUUUUAGGCACGUAAAAUAUUUAAUAAUAGAAAAUCUUUGGUAAAUCAUCGGUCUACCUCCAUCAAACUCUCCAUGGGUUCAACCUACUGCGUUUUUCGGUGCAGGGUCCCCUUUCCAGCAUCUUUGGACUUGUUUUAUGUUGUGUAAACUUAAGCUUGACUACAAUUAUGCCUAAUUGAAAGGGAUGAUGAGGUCUAAGGUAAAGCGAGCUUGCCUUGCCUUGCCUUGAACACAGAAGCUGGAAGGACAUUCCACAUCUUAGCAGUUCUUGUUAGAAACGAUGAUGCGAAAAGUUUCGGACGGGUUGGAUGGUAACAACUAAACGAUGCCCUCAGAAUACAGAAAACAUCAGAAACCACGUUCAGCCGUCAUUAUAAAGCACGCAUUGUGUCCAAAAAUUGCACGUGACACAACACGGAAUGACUAAUCGUUUGUUCGUGAAAUUACCUACACCAAAAAAGAGUAACGGCUUUAGUAGUUUCAACGGCUUCAUUCCUAUGCGCGAUCAUUCUGGAGUUUUCUAUAUUCUGAGACGAUGCCAUUCUCCACGGCAUUUCGCUGAUUUGAGGGUAGAAUGGAGAUGGAGAAACUAGAUUGUGAAGUUCCUGGGCACUCUAAAAAGUGUAUUCGGUAAAAAACCGACAGACAGGCAACGUUACUUCGGUGUUUAAACUUUGUAGUUUCAUCCGUGUGUAGUUUAAAAAAAAUAAAGUGAUAAAACUAAACUUAUCCUUUUAACUCCAAAAGCUUUUAUAAUUUCAGAUGAAGAUGAGGCCGAGCCUGAAGUUAAAGAUAUAACCAUGAACAGUGGGAAAGUGUACAAGUUUGUGAAUGGGUACACAUAUGGUGCCGCACAUAAACUCCGCGCGUGUAUGCGAUAUAGAUGCACUACGGGCUGUGGAGUUUAUUUGUACUUGAGUUUUGAUGGCGAUCUCGUUGGCCGGAUACCCACACACAACCAUAUGCCGCCAAGCCUCUUUCUUACUGCUUCAGGGAUUUAUAUUCGAAGAUGAGGCAAAACAGCCAAAACCACGGAGCAUAAAACAUAAGCUCUCAGAUUAUGUCAAACCUUUAAGAGAGUUAUGGCUUCCUUCAAAUAUAGACGGCAUUUCGCAAUGUUGGCUCAAGAGAAGUGAUGGGAUAUUUGCCUGAAGCAUUUAGUUUUUCUGAAGCCAAAAGCUGUGGAGUGGGUGUUGCUUAUAAAGUACUCCCAAAACUUCUGCAGAAUGCUGUUAUUAAAAUACUUGUUCGGAAUACUCAUCAUCAUUAACAGCCGAAGUUCGUGCACUGCUGGUCAUUGCCCUGUUGCAUGGACUUCCAAACAAAACGGUCUCGAACCAGCAUCCAGCGGCUCCUUGCAACUAGUUUCAUGACUGCGCCAAUACUGCGCUUUCCCGUGCGAGGUCGCCAUUCCAGCACCUUGGGACCCCAACGUCAAUCGGCUUUUCUAUGUGCCCUGCCCGUUGCCACUUCAGCUUCGUGACUGGUUGAGCUAUGUCAGUGACUUUUCGGAGUAUUACUUCAAGAAAAUAUAGAUGAACAUUGCCUUGAAACUUUCCUGCUAAAGCUGCGACGGAGCUUACUCCGUAAUUAGCUACCGUAUUCACAUAUGGUGUAAAAAAGUAUGGUCUUGCAAACCUUCAUCCUUCAUAGAAUGAGCCAUAUUCUACUUCUCGUAUAAGUUUCACGUCCAACGGAUAAGCUGUUUUGGGGCCAAAUAUCAAAACAUGAUAAGCACUUUUUUUUUUAUUAACAAUUAAAAAAAAUACUUAUUUUAUUUAAUUUAGAGAAAUAUAAAACAUGGUAAAUUUUGUUCUUCAGAAACUGAAGUUUUACUUUUAAUUACUUGUUUUUAUAUAUAUUUACUUUAGAGAGUACGUAUAAUAGUCGGGCAUACUCUGCCGUUCACGUGAGUUUUAGCCGUGUUUCAUAAUAAAUUAAUAUAGGAUUACUUACCGUUGAUAUUCUACGAAGUGAAUUUUAUAAUGUUAAGCAAGCGCUCACUUGUGACUUAUAUGAGCUUGUUUUAACUAUUUGAUUGGUACAAAAUGGACAAUAGGCAGUGCAUUUGUGCAUCUAGGAAGUGCACACUACUGGACUCACAGGUCUUCGGCAUCAGCACGUGGAUUUAUUAAGUUUUUCAAAAAGGUGGAAGGUGGAAAAGAAUUCAUGUAAUAUUUAUUCUGCUUUCGGAAGACAGUUUGGCUCUGAAUGUAUGUACGAGUAAUUUGAAGCAUUUGAGCAACGAUCUGUUGGUAAACGAAUUUAUAAGCCACACACGGUCUAUAAAUAAUUGUUUUUUUCUUUGUGUAAUUUGACUACUACAUGCAAAACCUAACUUCCUUCCGAAGUAGAAUAAUACGUGUACAGUGUUUUUAAAAACUAAUUGUGUAAUUUUUCAGUAUCAUUUGCUCUGUCACAGAGAGGCGGCCGGCUCCUCCUCUUCAAUGGUUAUUCUUACAGUUAUCAGAGUGGCAAAAACGACAUCAUCCUUUGGAAGUGUACCAUGGGCCAGCCAGGGACCACCAAGCGAUGUUUAGCGAAGGUUUAUACAACUACUCGAUAUAAAGUGGUAGAUGACGUUGGGAAACACUGUCAUAGGAAACCGAUGUUUGCAAAACGAAAUCAUAUGAUGGUCAGAGUUAAAAACGCAUAAUGAUCUAAUGUCAGCCACUGACGAUCAAGUAAUCUCACAUGCUUGCAGCGAUAACGGCUUGAUAGCUGAUAAAACUGAUUGUGUGUUGGUCGUGAUGUGCAUGACUUCAUGCUGAUCGCGAUCAUAACACGGACAGUUUUUUCGGACGUCAAACGGUUAGCGCUGCAGGCAUGUGAGAUUACUUGAUCGUCAGUGGCUGACAUAAGAUUCCCAUAUAUAAAAUGACCUUCACCAACCGUCUUUCUUCUUUUCUAUUAUCCGCCGGUCAGUAGUAAUGUGUAAUUUCUUUCUAUUUCUCAUAUCAGUUCGAUUCACCUGUCUAUCUGCUUGAAAUGUUUUAGGCAACCCAUUAGCACUAUAUUUAUUUUGAUUUCAAAAAGUUUUCGGUAGAUCGGCAAAGGUCGUCUAAUGUUCGGAUCUUCUGUUAUAUUUAUAUCUUAUUUCCUCUUGACACGUCACACAUUCACAUUGUGCAUGUGAUUUUUUCACUUGUGAUACCUCUACAUAUCAUAAGAUUGCUAAAAACCUCUACACUCUAUGAUUUAGGUGAUAAUAGGCUGUAGGUUCUAUAGUAUUUUUAUUCUAUACUUAUCUAUGAAGCAUAGUGCCUACUGUAUGAUAUACUGUAUGUAUACUGAAUAUCAUUUGAAAUUUGAGGUAGGUAACGUAAAUAGUGGUGCUAAAUCGCAUUUAACAAAAUUAAAACAAGUUGAGAGUUUAUUUAUUGUGAAUUACAUAUCUUUCCCACAAGGCAAAGGGUAAGAAAACUAUGGCUUUACGAGAAAUACUACGUAAGUUAAAUUAAUUAUGAAUUAAAAUUAGACUUUUAUUAUGCAUAUUUAUAACAGUUAUAUUUUUUCUAAAUUAUGUUUUGGUAGGACUUACAUAAUGACGUUGUUAGAUAUUUAAAUAGAAAUUGUUUAUAUAUGUACUUAAAGGUCUCGCAGAUGGGUAGAAUAGUUCGAAUCGACGUAAACUGUAGUAAUUUAUUAGGAUCAGUGGAAUACCGUGCUCAUUAGGCCUAACAUGCGACCAAAUGACCUUAUCUCGUGAAAAGAAAUAGACAAAUAAAAAUAUAUCGCUAUCUAUUUCGUUGUGUUGGGAUGAAAGAGAUGGUACUGGGAUAACUCCGACGCCAUUAGACGAAAAGAGAUGUCCCACUCUCAGUAUAUUGUUUAUCCCCAGACAAAAAAAAAAUUGGGGUGGUGUGGGGUUAUUGCGAAUUAAUUAUCAUAACAUCUCACAUAAUACCUAUCUACAAGGCAAAAAUUAAAAUUAUUUUAAAACCCCGCUAUUUCCGAGAUUUCUGUUUAUAUCUUUCAAUAUAAUAAUUGUAAGGUAAUUUUAGCACAUGUAUAUUUUUGGGUUUCUUGGUAUUUUUUCAUUUCAUCUGACCUGGGGAAACUUUGGGACAUCUCCUUUUGUAUAUAUUUCUCUCCAUUGGUCCCAGGUUAGCGCCAGUGGUAACAAUAUUUUAAAUGUAUGGGGAACCUUUGUUUGACUGAGUGUUGAUGGCUUGUGCCUUUGAAAUGUACAAAUAAUUGUAAGUAUUUGUAAUAAUUUAAGUAAAGUUUAUUCUUGUUUGA